rnacentral:rRNA from 1 species
GUCUAUGGCCAUACCACUCUGAAUGUACUCAAUCUUAUCUGAUCUAGGAAGCUAAGCAGGGUUAGACUUGAUAUGGGAGACCACCUGGUGGUAGUGGGUGCUGUGUACG